rnacentral:lncRNA from 1 species
UAAUUAUUUUUUUAUUUGUUUAUUUUGCAUGAUCAUGAUUGAACUUUCUUGGGAGAAAUUAUGAUUUUUUUAUUCAUUAUGAAGGAUCAUGAGAUCAAACUGCACAUUUUUUUAUAUCUUACUAUGAAUAAAUAUGGAUUCAAAGUUAUAAUUGUAUUUAGGAUACAUUUUGAUCAUUUAAUGGAUAUGUAAGGAUUUGAUUGAUAUACAGGAU